GUGGGGAAUCUUCCGCAAUGGACGAAAGUCUGACGGAGCAACGCCGCGUGAGUGAAGAAGGUUUUCGGAUCGUAAAGCUCUUUCGUUAGGGACGAACGUGCUCUUUGUGAAUAAUGAGGAGUAAUGACGGUACCUAAAUAAGAAGCCACGGCUAACUACGUGCCAGCAGCCGCGGUAAUACGUAGGUGGCAAGCGUUGUCCGGAAUUAUUGGGCGUAAAGCGCGCGCAGGCGGGAUAUCAUGUCUGUCUUAAAAGUGCGAGGCUCAACCUCGUGAGGGGACAGAAACUGGUAUUCUUGAGUGUCGGAGAGGAAAGUGGAAUUCCAAGUGUAGCGGUGAAAUGCGUAGAGAUUUGGAAGAACACCAGUGGCGAAGGCGACUUUCUGGACGAUGUCUGACGCUGAGGCGCGAAAGCUAGGGGAGCGAACGGGAUUAGAAACCCGGGUAGUCC
rnacentral:rRNA from 1 species